UAUUCAUUACACAGUUUUUGAUGUCGCAGAUACUGCAUCAGGAACUGAUUGGAUAAGAAUCAGUCACCAUCAGUUCCUAAUGCAUUGCCUUCAGCAUCUAAACAAGCACCAAUAUACCC
rnacentral:pre_miRNA from 13 species